rnacentral:rRNA from 1 species
GAAGCCGCGAGGUAGAGCAAAUCUCAAAAAGACAUCUCAGUCCAGAUUGCAGGCUGCAACUCGCCUGCAUGAAGUCGGAAUUGCUAGUAAUCGUAGGUCAGCAUACUACGGUGAAUACGUUCCCGGGCCUUGUACACACCGCCCGUCACACCAUGGGAGUCGGUAACACCCGAAGCCGAUAGUCUAACGAAAGAGGACGUCGUCGAAGGUGGGAUUGAUGACUGGGGUGAAGUCGUAACAAGGUAUC